UACAGAGGUCUCGAGCGUUGUUCGGAUUCAUUGGGCGUAAAGGGUGCGUAGGUGGCUAGGUAAGUCGGAUGUGAAAUCUCGGGGCUCAACCCCGAAACUGCAUUCGAUACUGCCUGGCUAGAGUACUGGAGAGGAGAUUGGAAUUUACGGUGUAGCAGUGAAAUGCGUAGAUAUCGUGAAGGAAGACCAGUGGCGAAGGCGGAUCUCUGGACAGUUACUGACACUGAGGCACGAAGGCCAGGGGAGCAAACGGGG
rnacentral:rRNA from 1 species